GCCAGCACGUAAUGGUGGGAACUCUAAGGAGACUGCCGGUGACAAACCGGAGGGAAGUGGGGACGACGUCAAGUCAUCAUGGCCUUACGGUAGGGCUACACACGUGCUACAAUGGCCGGUACAAAGGGCGGCGAGCUCGCGAGAGUCAGCGAAUCCCUUAAAGCCGGUCUCAGUCCGGAUCGGAGUCUGCAACUCGACUCCGUGAAGUCGGAAUCGCUAGUAAUCGUGAAUCAGAAUGUCACGGUGAAUACGUUCCCGGGCCUU
rnacentral:rRNA from 1 species